rnacentral:lncRNA from 1 species
AGAUUAUCGCCUUAAUUGGCCGGUCCGCUUAAUUUAUCUAUCCAUCAAUCGGUCGUCCACGUUGCACGUUAACUCUCGGAAGUCGGAACCCAUCAGAUCUGUAUAUCUGCCGUCGGCCACGCUUCACCAUGCCGUCGGUGUGCCCCUGGUCAUCAGGCAGGAGGUAUCGGCAGCCUCAGAUCGAACAAGACCUCCUGCUGCAAAGGAUGGAACAAGGUGAAUGCGGCGAAACUGAUGAUUAUUCUUCCGGCGCCCGCCGGUUCAUGGCCGUCUGGACGAUCUUCUUCAGGGUACGUAUGCCGAGACGCCGAGUACGCAUAUACUAGUAGUAUUCUGUUAUCGGUUUCCUCUGAACGAAUUGCCACUGUAGUUUCUCCGAUACGUUCGUCGAUAUAUGUGCUCACAACCAGGCGAUCUCUCUCCGCAGUGUUUUACUCCGUUGGCAAGCAUGGCGAUGGUGGUUUCCCUCUUUGUGGCGAGGAACAAGUAUCAUGAUCCUGAAUUGCAGAAUCCUGGGCACAUGGUGUUGCUUGUGUUCAUAGCUCUCUGCAUGACUCCUAUCGGGUAUCUGUGUGCUCCAGAUGUCUAAGCCAAGCUAGAUUCUGCGGUCUAGCACAAUCCUUUUUGGUUAUAAUUUCCAAAAAGUUGGUUUACGCGACAGUUCAUCAAUUCAUGUGCAAGUCAGAAAUUUGAAUUUAAUUUUCCUGAGAGGACUAAUAGUCAUUAAAUUCGGGACCAGUCUCUCUUUUGCCAGCAUUUAUACGUUUGUUGUCUAUAUGUACUAGGGGUAGUAUCAUGCACAAUGAAAAGGAUCUAGGAAGCAUCCAUACGGUGACACUGAUACGGCAAUACAGGAUACGACAAUUUCUA